UUGGGCGGGGCUCAGUGGCAGAGCUCUGGCCUCACACGUGUGAGGCACUGGGUUCGAUUCUCAGCGUCUCAU
rnacentral:tRNA from 1 species